UCAUAAAUGACAGGGUAACGUGGCUUGUUUUCAAUCAGGUGCAGAUAGUGCCGAAGGUGGCUGUCAGUCUGGAGAAACAAAGCACAAACUGAACUCCACUUCUGCUCACAGGUGAACUUACACAGAGCCACAAUCCUUUGAUCUGACAAUGCCCUGUUCUGACAAUGCACCGGGCUGUCUGUAGAGCCACAGCUUCUGUCUGGUCGACACCACUGCAUGUCCUGAAUGCUCCUUCAGCCGAGCAGCUCUGAAAUCUGCUUCGUGAGCCAGCAAGGAAGGACUGAAUAAACCCUCGCUAUUCACCGCU